GACGAACCGUGCGGACGUUAUUCGGAAUCACUGGGCUUAAAGCGCGUGUAGGCGGGACGGCACGUCGGUAGCUGAAAUCCCCCGGCUCAACCGGGGAACGGGCGCCGAUACGACCGCCCUCGAGGGACGUAGGGGGACCUGGAACUUCCGGUGGAGCGGUGAAAUGCGUUGAGAUCGGAAGGAACGCCCGUGGCGAAAGCGAGGUCCUGGACGUUUUCUGACGCUGAGACGCGAAAGCCAGGGGAGCGAACGGG
rnacentral:rRNA from 1 species